GCUUCGCCAACGACUUUGAAACUACAGGCAUGAAAGUUGGAAGGAAUGGGUAUCCGUUAGCUGUAAAAAAGCAAUGACUGUCGCUGUAUAUAACUGUUUCAAAAAGCAAUGACUGCUGUAUAUUACCGUUUUAAAAAACAAUGACUGUUGAGUAUAUUACCGUUUUAGAAAAAGCAGUGAUUGUUGUAUAUUCAUCUCUUAUAAAUGGCAGCGAGACUGUUCUUGUGGAUUAGGGAGGGCUUGUGUUCUUCCUCCCCCGUUAAUGUUUUCUUUGUCUUUGUUUGUUUUGUCAGUGUCUUUUCUUGGAGUUUUAUGUUUGUUUUGUUUUUCAGGAUUUUUCAUGUUUUCUGAUAAGGGUUUUGUACCGUUCUUCUGUGAUUUGUUUUUUUGGGUUGGUUUUUCUAUUUGACAGAGGAAGAGGGAAGGCAAAGAGCAGAGGCAGAGUAAAAGGAAGCUACAACUGAACAGGGAAGGCAAGCUGAUUCCAUCUCCAAUUUCCUUCCUUAGCAGUUAAGAGAGAGAAGGAAGAUACAUGUUGAAGGCUCCGCGCUUGUCUCUAUCGCAUCUACAUUCAGGCUGAGCCAGUGUACAAAAAUCCAAGGAAGCUCCAAUAGGUAGCUGCUGAAGUCAACUAAUGAAUGCAAUUUAUAAAAUUUUAGAAAUAUGUUUUAAAUAUUGAAUGGAUUUCUGAAUGCAGUAUUUGAUAUCUAAAAUUGAUAAAAAUGUUGCAUUUUUUAAUCAAUUGUUAAAAUAAAUGUAAAUGUAAUUUGUAAAUUGAGGCAAUCUUUAUUUUUUAAUACCAUUAUUUUUAUUUGGGAGGGGUUGAAUUUGCCCCCUUCCUAAGGCUGCAAAGAAUGGUCAUUAGCCAUUCCCCUUCCUAAGGCUGCAAAAAUUGGUCAUUAGCC